UACGUAGGGGGCGAGCGUUAUCCGGAUUUACUGGGUGUAAAGGGAGCGCAGGCGGCGUGGCAAGUCAGAUGUGAAAACCCGGGGCCCAACCCCGGGACUGCAUUUGAAACUGCCAUGCUGGAGUGCCGGAGAGGUAAGUGGAAUUCCUAGUGUAGCGGUGAAAUGCGUAGAUAUUAGGAGGAACACCAGUGGCGAAGGCGGCUUACUGGACGGUAACUGACGCUGAGGCUCGAAAGCGUGGGGAGCAAACAGG
rnacentral:rRNA from 1 species